GUCACGCCCGAAGUCGUUACCCCAACCGUAAGGGGGGGGAUGCCUAAGGUAGGACUGAUGACUGGGGUGAAGUCGUAACAAGGUAGCCGUACCGGAAGGUGUGGCUGGAUCACCUCCUUUUAGGGAGACCUAAUCCAUUUAGAAAUCGAAAACAAUGAAAAUUGUCAAUAGAAACUAAAGUGGUCUAACCUAGGUCGUUCGAGAUUGGUAGAUAUCUUUCAAAGUAUUAUUCGGCUUCGUUCAAAACCAUAUAUAAUAAAUGGAAAAAAGACAGCACCUAAUUGUCAAAGUUAGACUGCUGGAUGAAAUUCCAGCCAGAACCUUGAAAACUGCAUAAGAGAACGAGAAAAAGCAGGCAGACCCAGACAUUUAGAUGGAUGUGAAAGCAAAAGAAAUUGUGGUCAAGCUAAUAAGGGCUAAUGGUGGAUACCUAGGCCCACAGAGG
rnacentral:misc_RNA from 1 species